AGCACUUCUUCCUUCUGCCGUGCAGGUGAAGGGCACGGCCUUUCACUCUGGUGUGUGGGAGAGGGGCAGGAGUCAGUGGGGUGGAUGGUGGCACAGGUGGGGAGGCAGUGGGUGCUGGCUUGCGGCAUUUCCUCCUUGCGGUCUGUGCAGGAGCUCCGCUGGGCUCCCCUUCGUUGCCCCCUGCCCUUGGGUGUCUCCACCUCCUGUCUUGGAUCCCUUCUCCAUAUUGGCCUUUUUUUUGCUUUUCCUGCUUCUUGCCUGCCUUGUCUCUCGUCCCCCCGGCGCGGGCACAGCAUCCGCUCCGUCCUGUCUGCCCCUCGUGGUGACAGACUCGCUCGAGGCGCUGCAUGUAAAACAGCACCUCGCUGGCAUGGGACCAUCUCGCCUACCCUCAAGCCCCAGGGCAACUGGCCUGGCUCCCCUCUCCAGGCAAGUUGGACAGAUACUUUCCUGGGGUGGUUUAGAUGGGGAUGAUCCUGCCCGGUUGGAUUAGAUGGGACCUGCAAUUCGUGCUAGCCCUGCUUUUCCAUAAUGUUAUGCCCCUUCCCCUGUUAUAGGACCCUGCAUAGUCCCCUUUGCCCAGCUGCUUCCAGGGAACUGUGGUCUCAGGCCUGUCUCUCGGCAGGAUGGAGCCAGAGGCCAUCCGAUUUGUGCUUGCCUUUUCCCUGGCUCUAGAUCUGAAUGAAUCCAGUGGAGAACCCUUUAUCUCAGGUGUGCUCUGCAAUCCAGAGUCCUAAAUCUGAAUUUUUGGGGAAGCUGUGGCCUAAUCUGGACCCGGUCCCUUCACUUCCAUCAAGCCCACUGUGCCCUCUUCAGACAGCUGGUGGCAAUUGCAACUGUUGGCACCCGUGGCUUUGCACUAAGGCAACAGUCUGUCAAGCCUUUCCCCCCUUCCCACUUACUUGUGCUCAGCAAGAUGCACCCUUCUCCUGCCUCACUUCUCUCAAGGGGCCUUGCUGGACUCGCUGCAUUUGCUUCAAUCCCUCAAGUCACCGAACCCUUUGGAUCCUUCCCAUCACAACAUCUUGCCAGAAUAGCAGCAGCAGAGGUGGAAAAAUACCUCCCUUGGGGUAUUACCUUGUUGGCUUGGCAUCUCUGGGCUGGUGCAGGUCAUUGCACGUGUCACAUCUACCCAAAGAACUUUUCCUGCCAGGAGUUUUGUCCUGGCUCUUAGUAAGAGAUGCAGGAGGUACCUUGGCAGCUAGUAAGGGAGAGAAGAGCAUCCCCAGGGGCCUGCUGGGCUGCUCCACAUCUGUCUCCGUGGACCUGUGUGCCUACAGCUUCGGUAUCAUUUCUGCUGGGCUUGAGAGGGGAAAAUGCUUGAGGGGGAACUUGAGCAGGGUUUACAACAUGGAAAAUGGUGAAGAGAAAGUCACUAGGGAUUUAUUACAGACUGUCUCUAAACACAAGAACAAGGGGUCACCAAAUGAAACUGGUAGGGAGAAAGUUUAAAGCAAACGAGCAAUUUCUUUUUCACCUGGCGUGUCCAGGUGCGGAGCUUGUGGCCGCCAGGUGUGCUAGGAGCUGAUAGUUUAGCCAGAUUCACAAAGGGAUUGAGCCGAUUGGACAGAUCAGUCGCUAUUGAGAGUAGGAGCGAGGGGCACGGCUUCUGAAUCAGAACUUCCUAGGCCUUCACUGCUGGAGGCUGCAGGGGAGGGAGGUGGAGAGACCUGCUGGAAAUAAAGCAGUCGGCAUGGCAGGGAGCAGUAGAAGGGAUGGCAGAGGCUAAGCAUGACAACUGAGGAGCGAGGUUUCCACCUGCGGAUCGGUGGGCCCUGGCUUAACCUGUUAGUGCUGGGAAUCGCGUGCACGGAUGACCAAAUACCCACUUCCCUACGUGUCGCCAGGCUGCUAACAGCCGCUGUGUUGGUCCAAAGUGCCAGGCAAACCUGCUCAUCAGCGGCAGUCAUUCAGAAAGUUCUCAGUGUUGGAAACUGGCAAGCCGCGGCACGUGCUGGUUAACUGCCAGAUGGGGGGAUUGUUUCCAGCGUCCGACGUAGAGCUCGGAGGGCUGCCCCGUGACUUGAAUGAGUGAAUUGCAUGCACGGAGCCAAGCCGCCGAGCUCUGAGGUUGAAGAAUGAGUGGUGGAAGCUGCAAGGGGAAGGAGGGCAGGGGGUGAAUCGGUCUGGGUACGUCCUGCCCCAGUACCUUAGUAUCCCUGCUGUGCCCCUGCGACGGCCAGGGUGCUGGGCUAGAUGGACUCUGGGGUGUGACCUUGGAUGCAACGUGGCAAAAAGUAGUGUCUUUGCAGUGGUUUACAGCUGUAUUAUGCAUGAUCCAGGGUGGGCCGAUGCCCCCCCGGGGUUAGCAAGGAUUUGAGGGGGCCUCGUCCCUCGGUGCUGACGUUCUUUUAUUUCAUAGAUGAAAAGGAGAGAGAGAAGCGGAGCCUCCCUGCCUUCCUGCGGUGCCUCCCCUGGGGCAGGAGAAGCUGGAGGAAAGGACAUUCAGCGACCAGGAACCAUGUUUCUGAGGGGUGGAUCAGAUUGCAAGACUGGGACUGGGAAGCUCUGGCCCUGUGAGCUGUCCAGAUGGGCUGCAGGAUCCGGAGGAGGGCUUGGCUCUGACCAGCGUGUCGCCCAAUGGGAUCUGUGACGACGCUGGAGGCACGGACGCUUAGAUGUGGGACGGCUCCUAGAGCAUCAGGACAGCCUGGUUCAGCAAGGAAGUCAUCACACAGCUCUUUGGAAGAAGCUGCUUCCCUCACUUGACAAGGGACGUCUGUAGCAAGGAACAGCCUCCAGAGUCCCAACGAGAGACCUUCCCCCUGCCUCCACCCCUGCUGCGGCCGAACCUGUCGGAGUCAUUGUGCUUUGGUGCUAUGUAGAGUGAAUCAGUAGGUCCGUGAACGGAGCAUGUGCCCUUAAGAAAUCCCGUUUUCAAUCUCCUUUCCAUUUAGAAAAGAACAGCAAGGGGGAAAAAAAGGCACUAGAGCUGCAUGAAGUAUCGUGAUCGUGUGUUUUAUUUCCAUAGAUGAGCCGGCAGACAUGCCGGUCGGCAGGUGAAGAACAGCAGGGGUUGCCACGGCCAUACCGUGCAAAGCACACUUGUGUCACACGAGUCUCCUGGCCAUGAGGCCAGGUCAUUCCCUACUGCUACUUUUGGUGCUAAGUAGUCCCUUUGCAGAUUGCACUGGAGGCAGGGUGAGCCCGAGAGCAUCUGCAGUGUUUCCACUGCGUGGAUGAAUGUCGUUAUGGUGGGGAGCUGCGUGAUGGCUGCCUCCCUCGUUAAUUAACUGUGAGCCCAGCAACAUCAUGGUUGUCUUGCCUUGAGGACCAGCCUGUCCAUUCAUCCCAUUAAGAUGUGACUUAAUAUAGCUGACUUUUUAAAGGAAAUCUAAGCGUUUCAUAGUUUCAAAGAUGAUACUUUUAAUCUGCCUGGCGACUCACUGUUUUGAUCGCAUAGAGAGGAUUCUAGCAACACUAGCAAUACCCAGACUUCAAAUGCAGUGGAAAAAUGUGACCUUUUGGUGAGUGCACUUUGCUGGGUGUGAGCCCGGGUCUGGCUGCCUUGGUUCCCUGUGACAGGGCUGUAUGUGGUCAGGCUCUGGCUUGGACCAGCGCUCCACAAUUAUGUCCCUUCUAGCUGUCCUCAAGACAAGCUGGACAACUUUUCUGUUUGAGUAGGCACCUGUAACCAUUUUGCUUUGAUUUUUUUUUCCCCCAACUUAUGUGUCGUGUCCCCCCCCUUUCUGUUGGCGGCUGCUAACAGCAAGAUUUGGGUAGUCCUAGACCCCCCUCGACUCUUGGUCUGUUGAAAAUCGACUACCUCCUUCAUGACAGCAAGGUGCCUUAGGCAUUGCUCCAUCUGCUGCUUAGAGCAUGGGGCUGGGGCGUUGGGGGGGGUUCCCAGGUUCCUUACCCAGCUCUGCUAACAACUACGGACAUUCAUUUCUCUUUGCCUCAGUUUCCCCCUGUCAAGGUGGGGGAUCAUGAUGCUUGCAGGGGAGUGGUGAGGUUUCAUGAACCUUUGCAAAGUGCUCCGAGGGCAAGGGACUUGGGAGAACGGGGGUUAACUAGUGUGCAUGGGAGCAGGACACCGCUCUGUGAUCUUCCAGUGGCUCUGCUGGGAGAAGGCAGCUUGCUGCCCAGGGGGCUGUGCUGGUGCCUGGUCAAUGGAAGAGAAGUAGCAUGGAGAGGGGUGAGGACCAGGAGCAACAGA